UCCUGGGCAAGUCAUUUAAUCCCAAUUGCCUCAGGGGGAAAAAAGCCAGGGGACCCUCCAAAGGGGUAGCGGGGUGGGUGUAGUCUGGACCCUCCCUUAGCAGGAGCCUGUAUGAAGCCAGGAGUGCAUGACUUUGGGCUUUAUUCACUCCCCCCUCCCCCCAGCUUUGAGGGCGAGACGGAAGACGACUAUUACCUCGUGAGCUUUGAAAAGCCAGGAGAGAAAGCUGCCGGAAAUCUAGACGCUAAAGUAUACUUUGAGAUUUGCCCCAAGUCGGACGCAAGGCCCCAGCGGCGGAGAUGCAGACGCGUUCCCGAUCAAACUGGGAAGGGCGGACGCCCCACGGGCGCCGCUGGAGCCCGCUCUCCCCCAGGGUUGUGUCCUGGGAGGCUGCGAGGAAUGAACUUGUCAUACCUCUGAGGGGAGCCCCCUUGGGUAAAAGCUAAAAAUGUACAAGUUCGUUGAGGACAUCCAGGGCAUCGAAGGCUAUCCAAUCCAACACACACCAGGAAGCCCUAACGUGGUUGACAAGGGUUAUCCAGCCUUUUGAACAGUUCUAGUGAUGAGAAACUCACUUCCUUCUCUCAAAGUAGCCAAUUCUCACUCAUCAGUUUGAGGAAUGGCUAAAUUAGUUACAGCAUAUGUAUGUAAUGGAACACCAUUGUUCUGUAGGAAAUGAUAAGCAGCCUGAUUUCAGAAAAGCCUGGAAAGACUUACAUGAGCUGAUGCUGAGUGAAGUGAGAAGAACCAGGAGAUCAUUGCAUGGAGUAACAAGAAGAUUAUGUCAUGAUCAACUGUGAUGAACUUGGCUCUUCUCAGCAAUGUGGAGAUUCAAGACAAUUCCAAUAGACGUGAUGGAAAUGCCAUCUACCUCCAGAGAGAAAACUAUGAGGAUUAAAUGUGGAUUAAAGCAUAGAAUUUUCACCUUUU